rnacentral:rRNA from 1 species
GGGAUGACACAGUAGGAUAAGCUAAGCACACUGUUGGUUAUGUGUGCCCAAGCAUUGAGGCAGUCAAAGUAGGUAAAUCCGCUUUGAUAAUGCUGGGAUGUGAUGGGGAGCGAAAUUUAGUAGCGAAGUAGCUGAUUUCACACUGUCAAGAAAAGUCUCUAUCGAGGUUAAAGGUACCCGUACCGCAAACCGACACAGGUGGGUGAGGAGAGUAUCCUAAGGCCAGCGAGAGAACUGUUGUUAAGGAACUCGGCAAAAUGACCCCGUAACUUAGGGAUAAGGGGUGCCACCAUCAGGUGGCCGCAGAGAAUAGGCCCAAGCGACUGUUUACCAAAAACAUAGGUUUCUGCUAAGUCGCAAGACGAUGUAUAGGAGCUGACGCCUGCCCGGUGCUGGAAGGUUAAGGGGAUCUGUUAGAGCAAUCGAAGCAGUGAACUUAAGCCCCAGUAAACGGCGGCCGUAACUAUAACGGUCCUAAGGUAGCGAAAUUCCUUGUCGGGUAAGUUCCGACCCGCACGAAAGGCGUAACGAUUUGGGCACUGUCUCAACAACAGACUCGGUGAAAUUGUAAUUCCGGUGAAGAUGCCGGAUACCUGCGACAGGACGGAAAGACCCCAUGGAGCUUUACUGUAGCUUGACAUUGGGUCUUGGUACUACAUGUACAGGAUAGGUGGGAGGCUUUGAAACCAGGACGCCAGUUUUGGCGGAGCCAUCCUUGGGAUACCACCCUUGUAGUACUGGGACUCUAACCAUAGGCCAUGAAUCUGGUCUUGGGACACUGUCAGGUGGGCAGUUUGACUGGGGCGGUCGCCUCCCAAAAGGUAACGGAGGCGCUCAAAGGUUCUCUCAGUACGGUCGGAAAUCGUACGUAGAGUGUAAAGGCAAAAGAGAGCUUGAUUGCAAGACAUACAGGUCGAGCAAGGAUGAAAAUCGGACUUAGUGAUCCGGUGGUUCUGCGUGGAAGGGCCAUCGCUCAACGGAUAAAAGCUACCCUGGGGAUAACAGGCUUAUCUCCCCCAAGAGUCCACAUCGACGGGGAGGUUUGGCACCUCGAUGUCGGCUCAUCACAUCCUGGGGCUGUAGUAGGUCCCAAGGGUUGGGCUGUUCGCCCAUUAAAGUGGUACGCGAGCUGGGUUCAGAACGUCGUGAGACAGUUCGGUCCCUAUCCGUCGCAGGCGUAGGAAAUUUGAGAAGACCUGUCCUUAGUACGAGAGGACCGGGAUGGACG